GGUUAAGCGACUAAGCGUACACGGUGGAUGCCCUGGCAGUCAGAGGCGAUGAAGGACGUGCUAAUCUGCGAAAAGCGCCGGCGAGGUGAUAUGAACCUUUGACCCGGCGAUGUCCGAAUGGGGAAACCCAGUGUGUUCCGACACACUAUCGUUAACUGAAUACAUAGGUUAACGAGGCGAACCGGGGGAACUGAAACAUCUAAGUACCCCGAGGAAAAGAAAUCAACCGAGAUUCCCCCAGUAGCGGCGAGCGAACGGGGAGCAGCCCGGAGUCUGAAUCAGCUUGUGUGUUAGUGGAACGGUCUGGAAAGUCCGACGGUACAGGGUGAUAGUCCCGUACACGAAAAUGCACAUGCUGUGAACUCGAAGAGUAGGGCGGGACACGUGGUAUCCUGUCUGAAUAUGGGGGGACCAUCCUCCAAGGCUAAAUACUCCUGACUGACCGAUAGUGAACCAGUACCGUGAGGGAAAGGCGAAAAGAACCCCGGCGAGGGGAGUGAAAAAGAACCUGAAACCGUGUACGUACAAGCAGUGGGAGCACCUUCGGGUGUGACUGCGUACCUUUUGUAUAAUGGGUCAGCGACUUAUAUUCUGUAGCAAGGUUAACCGUAUAGGGGAGCCGAAGGGAAACCGAGUCUUAACUGGGCGUUAAGUUGCAGGGUAUAGACCCGAAACCCGGUGAUCUAGCCAUGGGCAGGUUGAAGGUUGGGUAACACUAACUGGAGGACCGAACCGACUAAUGUUGAAAAAUUAGCGGAUGACCUGUGGCUGGGGGUGAAAGGCCAAUCAAACCGGGAGAUAGCUGGUUCUCCCCGAAAGCUAUUUAGGUAGCGCCUCGUGAACUCAUCUUCGGGGGUAGAGCACUGUUUCGGCUAGGGGGCCAUCCCGGCUUACCAACCCGAUGCAAACUACGAAUACCGAAGAAUGUUAUCACGGGAGACACACGGCGGGUGCUAACGUCCGUCGUGAAGAGGGAAACAACCCAGACCGCCAGCUAAGGUCCCAAAGUCAUGGUUAAGUGGGAAACGAUGUGGGAAGGCACAGACAGCCAGGAUGUUGGCUUAGAAGCAGCCAUCAUUUAAAGAAAGCGUAAUAGCUCACUGGUCGAGUCGGCCUGCGCGGAAGAUGUAACGGGGCUAAACCAUG
rnacentral:rRNA from 1 species